rnacentral:rRNA from 1 species
GGGUGAGUAACACGUGGGUAACCUGCCCAAGAGACUGGGAUAACACCUGGAAACAGAUGCUAAUACCGGAUAACAACACUAGACGCAUGUCUAGAGUUUGAAAGAUGGUUCUGCUAUCACUCUUGGAUGGACCUGCGGUGCAUUAGCUAGUUGGUAAGGUAACGGCUUACCAAGGCAAUGAUGCAUAGCCGAGUUGAGAGACUGAUCGGCCACAUUGGGACUGAGACACGGCCCAAACUCCUACGGGAGGCAGCAGUAGGGAAUCUUCCACAAUGGACGAAAGUCUGAUGGAGCAACGCCGCGUGAGUGAAGAAGGGUUUCGGCUCGUAAAGCUCUGUUGGUAGUGAAGAAAGAUAGAGGUAGUAACUGGCCUUUAUUUGACGGUAAUUACUUAGAAAGUCACGGCUAACUACGUGCCAGCAGCCGCGGUAAUACGUAGGUGGCAAGCGUUGUCCGGAUUUAUUGGGCGUAAAGCGAGUGCAGGCGGUUCAAUAAGUCUGAUGUGAAAGCCUUCGGCUCAACCGGAGAAUUGCAUCAGAAACUGUUGAACUUGAGUGCAGAAGAGGAGAGUGGAACUCCAUGUGUAGCGGUGGAAUGCGUAGAUAUAUGGAAGAACACCAGUGGCGAAGGCGGCUCUCUGGUCUGCAACUGACGCUGAGGCUCGAAAGCAUGGGUAGCGAACAAGAUUAGAUACCCUGGUAGUCCAUGCCGUAAACGAC